rnacentral:lncRNA from 1 species
GUAAAUACAAAAAUAGGUAUCUCUUCCCAAGAGCCUCACUAGCAAUGGACUAAAUCCUGCUCUAAGCACCAAUAGAUUUAUUGUAUUUUUUUUCCCCAUCCUUUCUGGACAGAUGACUGUUUCUAAACCUUCCUCACUCUAUCCACGCAGAGAUCUGAUGGGCCCAAUGCAGCUUUGAUGAAAUCCAGAGGAAAAUUUCUCCCAUUGCUCUGCACCCUGGUUGAGAUUGGUGAGAGACUGUUUGGAGCUAUGGGUUCUGGUGGUGUUUACAGCAGUUCUGUACCUUUAAUUCUCUGCAUGUAAGGAAUGUCCUGAAUGGCAAGCAGAGUGAUCCCAUCACAGAGACCCUCAGAGGACCCACCUGCAGCCCUGCUUCCUGGAUUUGAUUUUAUUUGACAUCUUGAUAUUGCCAGCUCUGUUGUUUUAUCUGCUGCCUUAUGAUAGCUGAAGAUUUAUUGAGACCAUAACUUUGGGGAAAAAAUGGUUACCUGAACAUCUUUUUACUUUUUAAUUUUUUUAAAAUUAUUUUUAUUUAUUUAUUUUUUUAGCAAAAACAUAAUUUUCACAAUAGAAAAAUCACUUCAAGAAGAAUUCAACUGUCUGUAGUUUGGUUUUGGGUUUCUAUUUCAGUCUCACAUCCAAUCUAAUUGUUGGGAAGGGCAAAUGUUGGGUACUAAGUCGCUUGUAGGGUCAGAAAGAUUGCAGCUAGAAUGAAAGGCCCUUCAGGUUUCUGGAGGGAAUUUCUGGGAUUUUGAAAAAUAAGUAGGUUUGUCAUAAACUGCCUUUGUUCUCUUUAUUUUAUUUAUGCUGCAGUUAUGUUUGUUGAUGCAUUGGCUACCUUGUCUGGCCAACUGCUUAAUCUCACUUUACCAAAUGUGGAUUUGCAGAGAUGUAGGAGCAGAUGGAUACCUUUGUUCCAUUAAAUCUUUUUUACAGUGUUUGCCUUUGUUUAUUGUGUGAAGAAAGGGACUCUGAAGGAAUCCAGUAAGACUGAGAUUUCAAAGACUUUCCAUAUUACUCUUGCAAUACACUCACCACAAAUCUGGCUGGAGCCCCACAGCUCCUGCAGCGGUUAUCUGGGAGGUGUGCUGCUGGACAUCUGCUUCACAUCAGGAGAGCUAGAGCAGAACAAGCCCAGUGCAGACAGAUUCACCAGUCCAGCUCUGCAACCACUGGUGUGGAGCAUCCCGAAAGCUUCCAGUACAAGAAAUGGCAUCGUUCUUUACCAGGUCCUAGUUUGCCAAGAACCUGAAGUAUGACACACAGGUAUCAUGUGACUUGGGAAUACCAGUUCUAGAAAGAUAAACACAAUUUCUGGAUGUGCUUCCAAUUCCCAUUAUUUCACAGGGAGUGACUUUCUCCAUCCAAAAGCUUCAGAUGGUGUGGCCAAAGUGAAAGCUCUGUUCCUCACAAAGAGGCAGUAGUAGCCCAUGGAUACCUCUGUUAGCCACAUAGAUGUCUCCAGCCAACCCUGUGCAGGCUGAAACACCCAUUACACAGAUUCUUCCAGGGUGGAUCCUAAAAUCAGAGUGAGCUGCCUGUUG